CCUACGGGAGGCAGCAGUGGGGGAUAUUGCACAAUGGGGGAAACCCUGAUGCAGCGACGCCGCGUGUGGGAAGACGGUCCUCUGGAUUGUAAACCACUGUCCCCAGGGACGAAGAUGACGGUACCUGGGGAGGAAGCUCCGGCUAACUACGUGCCAGCAGCCGCGGUAAUACGUAGGGAGCGAGCGGUGUCCGGAAUUACGGGGUUUAAAGGGAGCGUAGGCGGGGAUGCAAGUUGGUUGUAAAAACUACCGGUUCAACUGGUAGUCGCACUCAAAACUGCAGCUCUUGAGUGAAGUAGAGGCAGGCGGAAUUCCUAGUGUAGCGGUGAAAUGCGUAGAUAUUAGGAGGAACACCAGUGGCGAAGGCGGCCUGCUGGGCUUUUACUGACGCUGAGGCUCGAAAGUGUGGGGAGCAAACAGGAUUAGAUACCCUUGUAGUC
rnacentral:rRNA from 1 species